GGGUCAGUAGGUUGGUCGUGCCACCGGUACGUACUGGUCUCACUGAUUCCUCCUUCCUGAAGAACCGUAAUGCCAUUAAUUUGGUGUUGCGGGGAAACAGGACCGUUACUUUGAAAAAAUUAGAGUGUUUAAAGCAAGCUAACGCCUGAAUACAUUAGCAUGGAAUAAUGAAAUAGGACGAUCGAUCCUAUUUUGUUGGUUUCUAGGAUUGACGUA
rnacentral:rRNA from 1 species